AUUGAACGCUGGCGGCAGGCCUAACACAUGCAAGUCGAACGAGUGGCGGACGGGUGAGUAAUGUCUGGGAACCUGCCCGAUGGAGGGGGAUAAAUACUGGAAACGGUAGCUAAUACCGCAUACCAUCGGAUGUGCACAGAUGGGAUUAGCUUGUAGGUGAGGUAACGGCUCAACUAGGCGACGAUCCCUAGCUGGUCUGAGAGGAUGACAAGCCACACUGGAACGGUAACACGUGCCAGACGCCUAAGGUAGGCAGCGUUGGGGAAUAUUGCACAAUUGGCGCGAGCAUUAUGCAGCCAUGCGGCUGAGAUGAAGAAGGCCUGCGGGUUGUAAAGUAUUUUCAUCGGGGCGGCGUUACCCUCAGAAGAAGCACCGGCUAACGCCGUGCCAGCAGCCGCGGUAAUAC
rnacentral:rRNA from 1 species